CAAACAUUGCCCCGAAUAUCGACUGGCAGGCAGGUCUGCCUAUUAGGCAGAUAAAAAAAAACAACACAUCUCCGCGAAACCCGCCUCCUCAGUUACAUCACAAAGGAAACACGCCAUCUAAGGGCAAAUGCCAUCUGUUUCCACUCCCUCUCAUUCAAACUGAAAACUGUGUGCCAAGGUUUUGCAGCAGAAGAGAGUUGGAAUGAGAAAGUGAGAUCAAGGAACAUUUCUGGAUCUCAUCACUUGAAGACUGCCAAGGAGUCUGACGCACAUGUACAGAGAAUUAUACAUAAUAUCUUAAGGAUAAUGGAACUGGCACAUUUGUUGCUAUCAGAAAAGAGGGGAAGAUCACUUUCAGUGGUGAUGUGAAAGGUCCAAUAAACCAAAAGAUGUGUCAUGGUAGAUCGGGACAUGAUAGAAAUCAAUGCAGUGCACACAGUGUUUCCUCGUGCAAAUGUGUUGCUGCCCUGCUGCUACCUUCCUCCGUGCAUGCUACACUCACCCCUGCCAGCCUCAAGUCCACCCUGGACUUGCUCGCCAGGCUACAGUCCAACAAGUGCGUGCCGGAGUACCUGCAUACCACUUCAGACACCAUUGUAGUGAUCUAGGUUAAUGCAGGCAGAUGCAUUACACAGGGCGAGGCAAUCCAUACACAGACGGAAGGCGGGCGUGAACCCAGGACCUCUAACACUCCAGCAUAGUGCCAAUACUGCUUAUAUCUUUGUAUGUGAUUAUGUCACCUACCAGCCCUACUGCUGCUGCCUUCCCCCGUGCACGCUACAUGUAUAUAGCAAGUGCUAAAAGUACAGUAAUCCAAAUUUGGGUAACCUUGAAAUUCAAAAGGUAAUUUAACGUUAUGAUGAAGAGAAACACACUAAAUGUUAAGCACAACAACACAGUGACUAUAAGAAAAGGCAAGAUACUUGGAGUUGGAAAGGAGUCAUUUAUUAAUUCUGGACUGUAGUUCCAAUGUAAAACAUCUCCUCUUGACUUUCUGUGGAUGGAUGGAGUAAUGGCAACAUUUACACUGAACAUUAAAAGUACAACCAGGAAUCCUUAUUUUUAAUUUUUUUUACAGAUUACUGAAUAAACAUAGUAACUCGACUUAGAUUCAUCUGAUGUGAGUACUUGAUGGCUAGUUGUUAUAGGCAAUGUUAAACAAUUGUACUGUUGGAAUGUAUUUUCUAUUAUUUUGGCAAGGUUACAAUAUUUACACUAAGAUUAUUUUAUAAAUAUGUUACAAUUAAACAGUUGUAGAAUAUUUAGGUUGCUAUAUGAUAGGUGUUAUUUUCUUCUGAAUGCACUACAGCAAAAAAUAUUAUUUAGUGGUGUGCGCAAUAUUAUGCUACUGUUGCUUUAAUUGGAAGACAUACGUGCUGUGACGUUGCUGCUUAUUCGGAUUCCUCCGGUCGGAGGAAACCUAUGUUAUUGGUGGUUUUAUUAUUAUUAUUAUUAUUAUUAUUAUUCUCCUUGCGCCCCAAUAUCUCAAAAAGUCACCAGUAAAAAAAAAAAAUUCUAAUUUGGCACAUUGAUACUACAGGCCACCGAGAACCCCCACACCAAGAAUGGCCCACAUUCGCCCUUAGGGGGCGCUACAGGCCACGCCCAAUUUUCAAAGUGAUGGCAUUUCCACCCCAUUUGUCCAAUUCUUCUGAAACUUGGUGUUCAUUCCUCAUGGGGAACAAAAAAGCCUCAAGGACCCAUAAGGUCCGCGGGGGCCAAGAUGGCGUUCAUCCGUGCGGACACGUUUUGAGUGGUGUCGUCAGGCAAUUAAGAGAUUAACAUGAAACUAUGUUUGAAAACCCUGAUAAACUUUGAUUAUUAGUUAAGUUUUUCUUCUUCUAUUGUGUGGCUUGUCAGGCCUAUAUGGGUCAAAAAAGAAACAAGAGAUAAGGUUCAGGUUAAAGAUACAGACAUGGCGACUGACGAGAGCAAAAGUGUCAACGAAGUUUCCAUGGACGUAGAAGUACAGGUGCUGGUCAUAUAAUUAGAAUAUCAUCAAAA